CUUUUCACUCUCUGUCCCUCUUUCCGCUACGCACCUCUCUGCAUUACUGCUCUCACACCUUUAUCCUUCACUCUCUCUUUCUUGCCCUCACUCUUCAGUCGGGUUCUGUUGCCCUUCCUGUUGUGCCGUCGCCUUCCAGCUCUGUCGCCGCCAUUCUCCGUGCCGUCCGACCCUGAGGCCAGACCGGCAAGCCUUCCUCUCGCACUCUAACUGAGAUCCGCUCUCCUCUGUUUUCCCACUCAUCGCUUCGUUUUGCCGUAGCACAUCCCUCGGCUUCUCCCCCUCAUCUUGAAUGAUGGGUACAAUUGUCGUUGAGUCAUAAUGAUCGUGAAUGAUGGGUCCAAUUAUCAAUACACUCAAGGAUAUAUAUUCCCCUAGAUUAAGAUUAAGGUGGACUAUAAUUUACAAUAAUUUAUUAAUAUUAUUAAUCACAUGGAAUCGUUGAUUGAAUUGGAACAGCGGAUGGAGUAGUAGUUUACUCACCUUGCUUUGUCUUUUGAGCGCGGCUUCCUUGCUCGUGAGGUUACGUCUUCGAUUGAUAGUCAUUCUCUUUGCAAGUUCAUCCGUGACUAUCAAAACCCAAUUUGCAGUUCUUCUUUCUUUGGAGUGGACAUUUUGUUAGCACCCUCAAGGUGUUUGAUAGACAUUGCUGGUGAAUUUUAGCGUAUAGUUGGGACUGCUUUGGUUGACUUGCUGUGUUUGGAAGAGAUUUGAGUUUGCUGUGAAUUGAAGAAGCUCUGUGAGGUUUAUUUGUGAUGGGGGGCAAAAGUUCGAAGGGCUUGGGUCGGAGAGGAGUGGCGUCAUAUGGAUCUGGUGGUUCUUCAACAUGGAAUCCGUAUGGGUAUACACAACUGUCAUACCCUCAGCAAAACCCCUAUUACAUGCGUCGGCAUCCCAGUGCUCCACCGCCCUCUACAUCUUUUAAUUAUGGCUCAGAUGUACACCAGCCACAGAGAACAUUGGAUAGAAGAUACUUGAAUAUUGCAGAUAACUACCGGUCCUUGGACGAGGUGCUAGGUCAUUCAACCGACGGAGCUUACCGCCUCAAUUCCUUGAGGCUAAUCACCACUGCGGCAAAACCAGGUAGUCUACGUCCUCCUUCUCUCCCAAAUUCUGUGCAUGCCCAUGCAUCGAGUUCCUCGUCAGGUCCUCCCAACCCACUGCUAUGCACUCACUCUGAUAUGUCUCGCAGUCUUGGUGCACGCCGCCUCAUAUACCGAGCUCGAAUCUCAUACUUUGUUAAAGCUGGUCUCAUUGACCAAGCCAUCCAGGUGUUUGACGAAAUGACCCAAUCAGAUUGCCGGAUAUUCAGCAUUGACUACAACCGGUUUGUCGGCGUAUUGGCCCGUGAAUCGGGCUUUGAGUUGGCUGAGCACUACUACCACAAAAUGAUCUCCCUGGGCUUUUCCCUCAAUCCAUUUACAUACUCAAGGUUCAUUUCUCGAUUGUGCAAAAUCAAGAACUUUAGCCUCAUUGAGCAGCUUCUAGAAGACAUGGAUAGGCUUGGUUAUGUACCCGACAUUUGGGCUCUUAAUAUAUAUUUGUAUCUUUUGUGUCAAGAGAGUAGAAUAGAAUUGGCUUUGGAAGUCUUUCGUAGAAUGAUCGAGAAAGGAAGAGAGGGUGAUGUUGUAACAUACACUAUACUAAUUCAUGGAUUGUGUAAAGCAAGGAAGUUUGAUGCUGCAGCUGAAAUGUGGCGUGAUAUGAUAAACAAGGGUUUAAGUCCAGAUAAUAAUGCAUGUACAGCACUUGUUAUUGGGUUAUGUGAUGGUGGUAAGGUUAAUUUAGCAUAUGAGCUCACGAUUGGUGUGAUGAAGGGUCGGGUCAACUUUAGUAAUUUGAUUUAUAAUGCAUUGAUUAAUGGGUUUUGUAGAGCAGGUAGGAUUGAUAAGGCACAAGCGAUCAAAUCAUUCAUGAGGACGAAUGGUUGCGAGCCAGAUUUGGUUACAUACAAUGUGCUAUUGAACUAUUGUUGUGAUGGGCUUAUGUUGGAGGAAGCGGAGAAGUUGAUGAGGAAGAUGGAGAGGGCUGGGAUGAAACUGGAUGUGUACAGUUACAACCAAUUUAUAAAGGGCCUUUGCAAGGCAGACCUGCCAGAUAAGGCUUAUUUGUUCAUGGUGAAUAAGAUGGAGGCCAAAGGAUUGUGUGAUGUUGUGUCUUAUAAUACCAUCAUUAGAGCUUUUUGCAAGGCAUUUCGUACUAGAAGGGCCUACAAGCUUUUUGAGGAAAUGGGGCGGAAAGGGAUCGCGCCAGAUGUGGUGACAUUCACGAUUCUUGUUAAAGGUUUUCUUAGAGAAGGUAGUUCUGAUAUAGCAAAAAAACUUCUUGAUCAGAUGACAAGCAUGGGUCUAUUGCCUGAUCGUAUAUUUUAUACUACGAUUGUUGAUCACUUAUGUAAGAAUGGGAAGAUUGAGACAGCUCAUAGUGUUUUUUCUGACAUGCUGGAGAAGGGAAUUGCCCCUGAUGUGGUUUCAUACAAUGCCCUCAUAAAUGGGCUUUGCAAGGUUUCUAGAGUUAGUGAAGCCAUGCAUCUCUAUGAGGAAAUGCAAAUGAGUGGAUCCUAUCCCGAUGAAGUAACUUUCAAGUUAAUAAUUGAGGGGCUUAUACGAGAAAAGAAGCUUUCAUUGGCUUGUAGGAUAUGGGAUCAAAUGAUGGAGAAGGGCUUUACUCUUGAUGGAGCUGUGUCAGAGACUCUAAUCAAUGCUAUUCAUUCAAGAGAUGCCACAUGGACAUGAUAAAUGGACCCCUCAAGGUGUUUGAUAUGUGUUGCUGGCAAAUUUUAGUGUAUAGUAGGGAUGCCUGAGUAGUCCAUGCAUCACCAUCGAACUAACAUUCUUUGUGCUUUGGUUGCCUUGCUCUGUUUGGAAGAGAUUUGAGUUUGCUGCAAAUUGAAGGAGCUCUAGGAGUUUUAUUGGUGAUGGGGGGCAAAAGUUUGAAGGGCUCAGGUCGGAGAGGAGUUGCAUUAUAUGGGUCUGGUGGUUCUUCCACAUGGAACCAGUAUGGGUUUAGAGAACCUUCGUACUCUCAGAAAAACCCUUAUUACACCCCACAACAUCAUCAUGCUCCACCGCCCUCUUCUUUUAAGUAUGGGCUGCAACCAUCUUUUAAUUAUGGCUCAGAUGCACCCCAGCCGCAGAGAACAUUGGAUAGAAGAUACUUGAAGAUUGCAAAUAAAAACUGGUCCUCAGAUGAGGUUACUGCUGCUCUUGCGCAUGCUGGCCUAUAAUCUUCUAAUUUAAUUGUUGGUAUUGAUUUCACAAAGAGCAAUGAGUGGACAGGUGCUAGGUCAUUCAACCGAUGAAGCUUACAUCACAUCGGAAAUGGUCAAAAUCCCUAUCAACGAGCAAUAUUUGUCCUAUUUGUGGUGAACUUGUACAGGUUUGCCCUAUUUGUCUUACUAAUCAAAAGGACAUGGCCUUUGGUUGUGGGCAUCAGACUUGUUGUGACUGGAGAAGAUCUCGAAGUGUGCCCCAUUUGCCGGCGUGCAAUCGAGACUAGAAUAAGGCUCUAUUGAUUGGCUUUGCUUCACAUCUGUCAGAUUAUUACAGCUCAUGUGUUUGGUUCAGUGGAAGCUGCACAAUUUAUCAUGAUUUAUAGGCGGCAAUUUUGCUUUAGGGGCACCAAAGGUUAGCUGUUGAAGAGCAUUUAUCAAGUAUUACCUUUUUUUUCCCCCAUUUAAAUAUGCAAAUGGUUUUGGAUGAGCUAUGCCAGAGAAUUGGAAGUUUUGGGAUGAGCUACUUUUUUAACACAUGAACAUAAGUUUGGGAUUGUACGGCAAUAAGUGCUUUUCAUGGUUGUUGCUACUUCUAACAUCUCUGGCUUUUAGAGAGUAGUGAUUCCAUGUGUGGUCCAAACAGUCGGUGGGUUGCUCUGUUAAAGUGAAGAUUUAUGACAAAACUCCUGCAUGGAUAGUCAGAGAUGUUGCGAAGUAAGUCUGCAUAACACAACGUACGGAUGCAUGCCAUCUUAUUUUCUCACAUCACAUGCAUCAUGAUCCGCCUUCAGUUAAGAGGAAAGAUCCAGAUACUGAAAUAAAGGGGUUGUCAUUUUUUUGUCAGCGUUAUCAAGAGCAUAAAAAUGCAGUACACAUUAAUUCAAGACGUGGAAAUACUUAAAUCCAAUAGUAGAAAAUAUUUAUUUGGUAUGUGGUGACAAUAUUAUUAUUGGUAAUCUCAAUCUGGCUCGGCCACCAAAACACUUGGUCCCCCCACACAUUGCCUACCAGAGGGGUGCUGUAAGAGCGGUUUUGAUGCAAUCCGACUUGCGGUCUGUAAAGCUAGGAGGAAGUGUGGCUGCUUGAUUUGUGUUAAUUUUUGCUGUUUGGACUCGCUAAAGGAGAGAUCUACUUCUUCGUUCUCUUGAUCAUUGGUUAGGAGAAGCAGUAACAAUAGAAGAUGGCAAAAGAAAGAUGGUGUGAAUCACCGAAAAAAAAUGUAUGACCAUUAGUGGUUGUAUCGGCACGUGGUCCUCACAUGCCUGGGACGAAUGAGGUUGGUUAGAUCUGAGAGAUUUGAGCUGUUGAGUCA